rfam:Danio rerio chromosome 11 genomic contig CTG1132, GRCz11 reference primary assembly.
CUCUACAGCCAUGUCACCCUGCAGCCCAAGACCGGUUACUCACUGAAGCUAAGCAGGGCUGAGCCUGGUCAGUACCUGGAUGGGAGACCACUAGGGAACACUAGGUUGCUGUUGGAA